rnacentral:rRNA from 1 species
AAGAGUCUCGUGGUGACCAGCGGAGGGAUCAUUAUAGGGUCUACGACUACCCAAAAAACAACUGUGAACCUUUUUUUUGCUCUCGAGACUGCGGCGGGUGACUCGCUGGAGGAGUCGUCAAGAGCCCGCCGGAGUCGACGCUGAAGCUGUUGCGCCGAGACAAAUCUUCUGACUACUACGCCCCUGCUUAGGCGGGGUAAGGAAAAAAUGAAAUUACAACCCAUAACAAUGGAUCUCUUGGCUCCGGCAUCGAUGAAGAACGCAGCGAAAUGCGAUACGUAAUACGAAUUGCAGCUCUAGUGAAUCAUCGAAUCUUUGAACGCAUAUUGCGCCCCGUGGUAUUCCGCGGGGCACGUCCGACCGAGCGCCGCUGCCACGCUCGGGAGGUCUUCCUAGCGAAGCGCUCCCGGUGUUGGGGGAUGUUUUCGAUCCUCGAAAGCACUCCCGAAAACCAGCGGCGGCCCCUCCAAAGGUUCCCAGACGAAGUCACUUGCACAGCGUCUAGGGUCGGCCGGCGGGGGCCCGUCUCCAUUCUCUAUAUUUUAAAGAAGUUGGCCUCGGGUCGGACGAGGUUACCCGCUGAACUUAAGCAUAUCAAUAAGCGGAGGA